GAACGCUGGCGGCUGCCUAAUACAUGCAAGUCGAACGAGAGCGACCGGUGUUUGCACUGGUCAAUCUAGUGGCGAACGGGUGAGUAACACGUGGGUAACCUGCCCAUCAGAGGGGGAUAACAUCCGGAAACGGAUGCUAAAACCGCAUAGGUCUUCGAGCCGCAUGGCUUGAAGAGGAAAAGAGGCGCAAGCUUCUGCUGAUGGAUGGACCCGCGGUGCAUUAGCUAGUUGGUGAGGUAACGGCUCACCAAGGCCGUGAUGCAUAGCCGGCCUGAGAGGGUGAUCGGCCACAUUGGGACUGAGACACGGCCCAAACUCCUACGGGAGGCAGCAGUAGGGAAUCUUCCGCAAUGGACGCAAGUCUGACGGAGCAACGCCGCGUGAGUGAAGAAAGUUUUCGGAUCGUAAAACUCUGUUGUUAGAGAAGAACAAGUGCUAGAGUAACUGUUAGCGCCUUGACGGUAUCUAACCAGAAAGCCACGGCUAACUACGUGCCAGCAGCCGCGGUAAUACGUAGGUGGCAAGCGUUGUCCGGAUUUAUUGGGCGUAAAGCGAGCGCAGGCGGUUCCUUAAGUCUGAUGUGAAAGCCCCCGGCUCAACCGGGGAGGGUCAUUGGAAACUGGGGAACUUGAGUGCAGAAGAGGAGAGUGGAAUUCCAUGUGUAGCGGUGAAAUGCGUAGAUAUAUGGAGGAACACCAGUGGCGAAGGCGACUCUCUGGUCUGUAACUGACGCUGAGGCUCGAAAGCGUGGGUAGCAAACAGGAUUAGAUACCCUGGUAGUCCACGCCGUAAACGAUGAGUGCUAAGUGUUGGAGGGUUUCCGCCCUUCAGUGCUGCAGUUAACGCAUUAAGCACUCC
rnacentral:rRNA from 1 species